UCAAAAAAAAAAAAAAGCAAAGGACCCAGAACACAGUCAUAAACCAACACAGUUACGCACACAUUAUGAUUUUCCCACCCACGGACUUGAGGAGCGGGGUGCUGUUCAGCCCCCAAUUUGCAUAUUCUCCCCACCGCCAUGAGAGCUGGCAUUGUGUUGGUUACAGACCGGCUCACUCUGCCUGGCAUCCAGCUACGCCCGAGUUCUAUUUCCCGAGUCUUGGUAUUUUAUGAGACCAUGCCAGGGAAGAGCGAGAGGUAGAGUCCAGGUGAGGAGCAGGCAGAUUAGGCCUUAGAGAAGGGUGUUGGGGUGUCGGGGGAGGCAGGGGCAGCCCGAAAGAGUGCAGGCAGCACCUUCCUGAAAAUUCCACUGCCCUGGACUGCCACCCACUGCCAUGGCUUAGCACAGGGAAAGGGCUCAGAGGGCCGACAGAGCCUGCGUCCCUGGCUGUAUGGCCUCAGGAUGGGCUGGAGAGGGCAAGAGAGGAGUCCGGGGACUAGUGGAGAGACCACCACCACUGUCCAGGAGUGAAGAAGAAAAGAGGUGGUCUCAGUCCCCUGAGGGGCCAGGACGUCAGAUGCAGACCAUGAAGGUCACGAGGAUUCAGGGAAGAGGAACCCCAGGUCAGCAGGCGCCUUGGAGCUAGGCAGACCCAGGCUCCAAUCCUGGUUCCCAGGCACCUAGAAGCUGUGCAGCCUUGGGCAAGUCACCACACCUCUCUGAGCCUCAGCUCCAAUGUCCAGAGUCGAGCAGGAGACACCAAGCCCAAGAGGCAGGAUGAUACAAGGAGCUUUUCGGAAUUCGCUCUUUUCAGAACUCUUGGUAUAGAUCAGCCCAGUCAGAGGAGCUGGUGAAAUUUAUAGGAACUGUAAGAAUCAUUGCAGCAGUGACUACCCUCCGCUUCUGGAAAAUAAAGCCCUUGCAGUAAACACUGUUCAUUCUCUGAAGGGUAGACCAGAGCACUUACGGGAGCGAGAUGCAAAUAAGACUCAAGGUCAGGGCAGGAGAAUCCUGGGUGAGAAACCUCAGCUGAGCCCUUCUAACAUCCCAAGCCUUUGCAAGGCUCUGAAGGGCAAAAAUUCCAGGUGAGCUGGAAGCUCCCAGGCUGACGUCCCUCGUGGUGCCAGUUGGAUAAAGUUCAAGCUCCUUGGCUCUGCACCAGGCCCAUCACAAGAUGCUCCUCCCUACUCAUGUCCUGCUUCAGCGAGAAAGGACAGAGUGCUGUUCCCUGAUAAGCCCUACAGUUGCCCACUGCUGUGAACUUCCUGCAUGGACUGCCCUUCCUUGCCUCCAACUGCUGGGGGCUCCUACUCUCUACAGCCCAGGGAGCACACUCUCCUUACUCAUAACUCUCUGAGACCACUUAGCACCCUGGACAGCAGGGGCUUGUGCCAGCUUUGCCCAUCCCCACUCUAAGACUGAGGGAGCGCUGGGACUGUGGGAGGGCUGGGACUGAGGAAGGGUUGGGACUGAGGGAGGGCUGGGACUGAGGGAGGGCUGGGACUGUGGGAGGGCUGGGACUGAGGGGGGUGCCAGGACUGAGAAAGGGCUGGGACUGAGGGGGGUGCUGGGACUGAGAAAGGGCUGGGACUGAGGCAGGGCUGGCCUCUGAGGGAGUGCCGGGACCACACUAGGCUUACCUCCUUCUUCCCAGGGCCAAAGCUGGCACAAUGUGUUUAAUGAAUUUAUAAAGAAAGAGAGGAGAAAAAAAAAGAGAGAAGAGAGAGGGAGGGAGAGAGGUAGCAAGGGAAAGAAAGGGAGAGAGUGAGGUAGGGAGGGAGGGAGGGAGGGGAAGGGAGGAAAGGAAAGGAGGAAGGACAGAUCCUAGAAUCCAGAUAAUAUAAAGGUACCAAGAUGCCAAGUGUCAAUGUCUUCAUCUACAAAAAUGGAAAAACAGAGCUCGCCUCUUCGAGUUGUUACAGACUAAAUGCAAUAGUGAAUGAGAGCUCCUAGCACACAGGAAGCCCACCUGCCAGCCCUCCCUUCUUCUUCCCCUCUUUCACAGAACAGAGCAGAUCACAAAUGACACUGCAAGGUGAUACCUGCUGUGGAGAAAAAUGAGGCAGGGAAAGAGGGGCUGAAGAGUGGGAGAGGAGGGAAUGUUAUGAUUUUAAAUAGGGCUGGCUGUCAGGGGAAGUCCCUGUGAAAAGGUAACAUUUGAGCAAAGAGAUGAGGGCCUCAGCCAAGAGGACCUCCAGGAGGAAGGCAUCCCAGGGGGAGGGCAUGGCCAGGGCAAAGGACUGGAGGUGGGGGUAUUGUUAUAAAAUGCUGCAUGGGGCCAGGUGCGGUGGCUCACACCUACAAUCCCAACACUGUGGGAGGCCGAGGCAGGUGGAUCACCUGAGGUUGAGAGUUUGAUACCAGCCUGGCCAACAUGGUGAAACCCUAUCUCUACCAAAAGUACAAAAAUGAGCCAGGCAUGGUGGCACACGUCUGUCAUCCCAGCUACUCAGGAGGCUGAGGCAGGAGAAUCACUUGAACCUGGGAGGUGGAAGUUGCAGUGAGCCAAGACUGCACCACUGCACUCCAGCCAGGGUGACAGAAUAAGACUCUGUCUAAAAUAAAAUAAAAUAAAAUAAAAUAAAAUAAAAUAAAAUAAAAUAAAAUAAAAUAGUAAAAAAUAAAAUAAAAUGCUGCAUGGCACAGACAGCAUGUUUGACGUUUGGAUCAAGGAGCAAGGAAGGGGGUGGAGCAUCCCUCACCCUCCCUCCCUCUCUCAUUUCCCUAAAUCAUAUUGCCCUCAUCUGCUCUUAAACCUGGAGCUUCCCAAACACACACAUGGAUUAGGCACACAAAGUGUUAGGUUUGCUCCAACCCUGCAGGAUGGAAGAUAAGUCAAAGCUCCAGGGGAGAUGAAAGGGGCAGGAGACCAGGGCUGAGGUCUGCCCAGCUCAACUAGCUCCUGGGUUCCCAAACAGUCCCCACUGUACUCUGCUCUCCUCUAUUUUGUUUUUAAACACUGAUUGGGCACUGACUGUCUACAUGCAAGAUCCUUUGGUGAGUGCAUUAAUAAAUAUGAUCUCCAAAUGUGAACACCAAGGGCUUCAAAUAUUUUG
rnacentral:lncRNA from 10 species